GAUGAAGAACGUAGCGAAAUGCGAUAAGUAAUGUGAAUUGCAGAAUUCAGUGAAUCAUCGAAUCUUUGAACGCACAUUGCGCCCGCCAGUAUUCUGGCGGGCAUGCCUGUUCGAGCUUCAUUUCAACCAUCAAGCCCCCGGCUUGUGUUGGGGACCUGCGGCUGCCGCAGGCCCUGAAAAGCAGUGGCGGGCUCGCUGUCACACCGAGCGUAGUAGCAUACAUCUCGCUCUGGGCGUGCUGCGGGUUCCGGCCGUUAAACCACCUUCAUAACCCAAGGUUGACCUCGGAUCAGGUAGGAAGACCCGCUGAACUUAAGCAUAUCAAUAAGCGGAGGA
rnacentral:misc_RNA from 1 species